GCGGGUGUAGCUCAGUGGUAGAGCCCUAGCCUUCCAAGCUUGUCGCGAGGGUCCGAUUCCCUUCACCCGCUCCA
rnacentral:tRNA from 2 species